AUAUAUAUACUUGCAAUAGACAUUUAUCACUUGAAGGUCAUGUUGAGGUUCUGAAGAAUUAUGUCGAAUGCUAGAAUGGAAGAUUACCAAAUUGUUUUUGUGCAUUUUCUAUUAUCAGCUUCAAAAAGCCAAUGAAGAAGCAGAGGAAGCAUACAAUUCAAUUUCAAGAAGCUGCAAAGAAAGAGAUGAUCCGUUACAACAGGCAAAGGGUGUUGAGCCUGCAAGCAAGUCUUAUCCAGUACGCUGAAUCGCGGUGAAAGAAUGGACGAGAGACGUACGCCAUAUUAGCCAAACUACUGAAUGACAUGAAAAAAUCUGCGUAAUUAAGAAGCAUGAAGAAAAUAGACGGCUCCAUGAAUUUAGGUGGCCAAAAUUUAUGGCUCACUUUCUGUAUAACGUUAGAUUAUUUCAAUUUAAGGCUGAUAAGACAAAAAUAAUUCUUUAAAACGAGACCAGGGAGUUUCAGGCAUUGGCCUGUUCCAGGUAUUCAGUUGGUAAAAUGGAGCGAAGAUUGGGACUGAAAAGUGAAAAAGAGAGGGAGGCCUGGGUCGGGUUCAUUAAGCGACUCGACCCCAACCUCCCUCGCUUUUUCACUCCUCUGCUUUAAGAGCGCUGUUUACUAUUAUGCUUCCUUUUACAAACUGAUAGUCCGGAACAGGUUAUUCAGGCAGAAAUUGGCCAGAACUGGUGACAAAAAUUUGGCAAUGAUCAGGAAAUUAAUCAGCAAAUAUUUCGUAGCAGGUAUGAAUUUCUCAACUUUGUUAAGGAUACCAACCUUGAAUCAAGGCUCCAGAAGAUUUAUUAAAUACUUUUCACGGUGAAUUUUUCACCUUUAUGUUUUUUCAUGCAGAUCACAUUAAAACUGAAAAGUAAAUUUAAUUCUCUACCUCCUCCUGUAAAAGGAUAUUUUUAUCGAUUCUAAAUGAAUGAUUUUCAGAUGUGCAAUGUUUUCUAUGUACUCUCGGACUAACUGACCCCAUUAAAAAAAGAAAAAAAUA